rnacentral:rRNA from 1 species
GGGCACGACACCGGAGAGGGAGCCUGAGAAACGGCUACCACAUNNNNNNNUGGCAGCAGGCGCGCAAAUUACCCAAUCCCGACACGGGGAGGUAGUGACAAUAAAUAACAAUACGGGGUUCUUUAGGAUCUCGUAAUUGGAAUGAGUACAAUUUAAAUCUCUUAACGAGGAACAAUUGGAGGGCAAGUCUGGUGCCAGCAGCCGCGGUAAUUCCAGCUCCAAUAGCGUAUAUUAAAGUUGUUGCAGUUAAAAAGCUCGUAGUUGAAUUUCGGGGUUAGUAGGUUGGUCAUGCCUCUGGUAUGUACUGGUCUCACUGAUUCCUCCUUCCUUAUGAACCGUAAUGCCAUUAAUUUGGUGUUGCGGGGAAUUUGGACUGUUACUUUGAAAAAAUUAGAGUGUUUAAAGCAAGCUAACGCUUGAAUACAUUAGCAUGGAAUAAUGAAAUAGGACGUUCGAUCUUAUUUUGUUGGUUUCUAGGAUUGACGUAAUGAUUAAUAGGGAUAGUUGGGGGCAUUAGUAUUCAAUUGUCAGAGGUGAAAUUCUUGGAUUUAUUGAAGACUAACUACUGCGAAAGCAUUUGCCAAGGAUGUUUUCAUUAAUCAAGAACGAAAGUUAGGGGAUCGGAGACGAUCAGAUACCGUCGUAGUCUUAACCAUAAACUAUGCCGACUAGGGAUCGGAUGAUGUUAAUUUUUUAAUGACUCAUUCGGCGCCUUACGGGAAACCAAAG